AACGAACGCUGGCGGCAGGCCUAACACAUGCAAGUCGAACGCACCGCAAGGUGAGUGGCGCACGGGUGAGUAACACGUGGGAAUGUACCCUUUGGUUCGGAAUAACGUUUGGAAACGAACGCUAGUACCGGAUGAGCCCUGUGGGGGAAAGAUUUAUCGCCAAAGGAGCAGCCCGCGUCUGAUUAGCUAGUUGGUGGGGUAAAGGCCUACCAAGGCGACGAUCAGUAGCUGGUCUGAGAGGAUGAUCAGCCACACUGGGACUGAGACACGGCCCAGACUCCUACGGGAGGCAGCAGUGGGGAAUAUUGGACAAUGGGCGGAAGCCUGAUCCAGCCAUGCCGCGUGAGUGAUGAAGG
rnacentral:rRNA from 1 species